rnacentral:rRNA from 1 species
AUGCAUCCGAGUGGCGGCGCGCUGUCGGUGCCACCGGGCUUCCGGUUCCAUCCGACGGACGAGGAGCUCCUCUACUACUACCUGAGGAAGAAGGUCGCUUAUGAGGCCAUAGAUCUUGACGUCAUCAGGGAGAUCGACCUCAACAAGCUCGAGCCAUGGGACCUCAAAGAUCGGUGCAGGAUAGGCACAGGGCCGCAGAACGAGUGGUACUUCUUCAGCCACAAGGACAAGAAGUACCCGACGGGGACGAGGACGAACCGGGCCACCACGGCGGGGUUCUGGAAGGCGACGGGCCGCGACAAGGCCAUCUUCCUCGGCAGCGGCGCCAGGAGGAUCGGCAUGAGGAAGACGCUGGUGUUCUACGUCGGGAGGGCUCCCCACGGCAAGAAGACCGACUGGAUCAUGCACGAGUACCGCCUAGACGAAGACAACGUUGAGGUCCAGGAAGAUGGCUGGGUGGUGUGUAGGGUUUUCACCAAGAAGAGCUACACGAGAGGCAUGAACCCGGCGGGGAUGGCGGGGUACGACGACGACGAGCUCCUCCACCCUUUCCCGGUUCCAUCUUCCGCCGCCGGCGCAAUGCAAAUGAUCACGGACCAGAAGCACAUCAUGCACAGCCCCGGCCACCUCAUGCAGCAGCAGCAGCAGCAGCACUACGACUUCCCUUCCUUCGACGCGUCCAUGCAGCUCCCGCAGCUCAUGAGCGCCGAGCACGAGCAGCAGACGCUCUCCUCCUUCCUCCCCGGCGCACCGGCUGCCGUUGCCAUGAGCUCGCACGAGCUCGAGUGCUCACAGAACCUGAUGAAGCUCACUUCGAGCGGCACCAACGGAAUGCUCCACCACGGUGGCAGUGGCGGUGGCGGUGGCGGCGACCCCCGCUUCCCCGGCACGGACUGGUCCAUCCUGGACAAGCUCCUCGCCUCGCACCAGAACCUGGACCAGCUCUUCCAGGGCAAGGUUGCCGCCGCCGCAGCAGCAGCAUCAAUGGCGCCUUAUCAACAGCAGCAUCAGCAGCAGCUCAUGGAGCAGCUUGGAGGCGGCAGCACCUCCUCCAUGCAGAGAAUGCCACUGCAGUACCUCGGCUGUGAGGCCGCCGACCUCCUCAGGUUCUCCAAGUAG